CAGCACAGCUUUCAUUGACCUGCUUUCUCUCGUAUAUGUGAGCAGUGUUAAUCUUACAUGCUAUACAAAUAAUUGAAGGUUAAUUAGUAGUAAAACUAAAUAGAAAUGCUGCCAGUCUCCUUCAGACAAAU
ensembl:snoRNA